GAUGAACGCUGGCGGCGUGCCUAAUACAUGCAAGUCGAGCGAACGGACGAGAAGCUUGCUUCUCUGAUGUUAGCGGCGGACGGGUGAGUAACACGUGGAUAACCUACCUAUAAGACUGGGAUAACUUCGGGAAACCGGAGCUAAUACCGGAUAAUAUUUUGAACCGCAUGGUUCAAAAGUGAAAGACGGUCUUGCUGUCACUUAUAGAUGGAUCCGCGCUGCAUUAGCUAGUUGGUAAGGUAACGGCUUACCAAGGCAACGAUGCAUAGCCGACCUGAGAGGGUGAUCGGCCACACUGGAACUGAGACACGGUCCAGACUCCUACGGGAGGCAGCAGUAGGGAAUCUUCCGCAAUGGGCGAAAGCCUGACGGAGCAACGCCGCGUGAGUGAUGAAGGUCUUCGGAUCGUAAAACUCUGUUAUUAGGGAAGAACAUAUGUGUAAGUAACUGUGCACAUCUUGACGGUACCUAAUCAGAAAGCCACGGCUAACUACGUGCCAGCAGCCGCGGUAAUACGUAGGUGGCAAGCGUUAUCCGGAAUUAUUGGGCGUAAAGCGCGCGUAGGCGGUUUUUUAAGUCUGAUGUGAAAGCCCACGGCUCAACCGUGGAGGGCCAUUGGAAACUGGAAAACUUGAGUGCAGAAGAGGAAAGUGGAAUUCCAUGUGUAGCGGUGAAAUGCGCAGAGAUAUGGAGGAACACCAGUGGCGAAGGCGACUUUCUGGUCUGUAACUGACGCUGAUGUGCGAAAGCGUGGGGAUCAAACAGGAUUAGAUAUCCUGGUAGUCCACGCCGUAAACGAUGAGUGCUAAGUGUUAGGGGGUUUCCGCCCCUUAGUGCUGCAGCUAACGCAUUAAGCACUCCGCCUGGGGAGUACGACCGCAAGGUUGAAACUCAAAGGAAUUGACGGGGACCCGCACAAGCGGUGGAGCAUGUGGUUUAAUUCGAAGCAACGCGAAGAACCUUACCAAAUCUUGACAUCCUUUGACAACUCUAGAGAUAGAGCCUUCCCCUUCGGGGGACAAAGUGACAGGUGGUGCAUGGUUGUCGUCAGCUCGUGUCGUGAGAUGUUGGGUUAAGUCCCGCAACGAGCGCAACCCUUAAGCUUAGUUGCCAUCAUUAAGUUGGGCACUCUAAGUUGACUGCCGGUGACAAACCGGAGGAAGGUGGGGAUGACGUCAAAUCAUCAUGCCCCUUAUGAUUUGGGCUACACACGUGCUACAAUGGACAAUACAAAGGGCAGCGAAACCGCGAGGUCAAGCAAAUCCCAUAAAGUUGUUCUCAGUUCGGAUUGUAGUCUGCAACUCGACUACAUGAAGCUGGAAUCGCUAGUAAUCGUAGAUCAGCAUGCUACGGUGAAUACGUUCCCGGGUCU
rnacentral:rRNA from 1 species